rnacentral:lncRNA from 1 species
GGUGAUAUCUCUGGUACUUCGUCAGCGGAAUGGGUCGCCAGCGGAAUGUCUUCCGCUCUGGCCUUCCUCCGCUCUGGCAGCGGGGAAGUGAAUCCUCUGGCAGCGGGGACUCGAUCCCGCUGCGCUGGACUCCUCUGGUGAUGACUUCGCUGGCAUGUUGAUUUCUCUGGCGCGACUUCUCUGGCAUGUUGAUUUCUCUGGCGCGACUACUCUGGCGUGACUUCUCUGCUCUGGAGAUGUCGGCUCCUCUGGUAUUCGCGGAUUUCUCUGGACUGGCUUUUGAUUCCUCUGGCGCGUCGAUU